CAUAUCUGACCCAGUGCCGGAAUCUUCCUUGAUUUUUCAGAAUCGUGACACAGCAGCAGCCCUUUCCCAGUGUGUGGGGCACAAUUACAUUCCUAGGUGUGGAAGGAAGACCUUUGCUGCAUUAAAUUAUCCCCAGCAUCUGUUUGCUGCUUUUAACGCGAAUGACUUAAAGGGGCAUGGGUUAGAAGAAGGAGGGAGGAGAUUUGUGCCAGGGAUGAAAGAAAAUGGCUAAAAGAUGAAUGAAAGUUGCAUAUAUCUCUUUUUCUUCUGUAAAUAACUCAUGAUAAAAGGGAAUAAAAUUUAGGUUUUCCCCACUUGGAAGAGACAUGGCCAAACGGAGUGUGUGCUUUUCCUAAACCACCGUGAAGGUAGCAUGAAAACCAGGCUUGCUCUUCAGAGACCAGGAGGCUCCUGUUUUGGGCACUCCAUCUGUCCUGCUGCCGUGAAAGCUCUCGGACCCAAAUGGCUUCCUGUGAUCCACUGUGGUCUACUUGUUAUAUUCCCUUCAGCUAUGUUUAUAACUCUGUCAACAGCCACAGCGGCAGCUGGGACGAUGAAAGCAUCCCAAGACCUCCCUUUUCCAUCUGUGGCUGAUCACCUCUGGAACCCACAGCUAGCCGGCAGCUCCUCCGCUAUCAGAUGGUGGCUGUCAGUCAUGGGCUUUUCACCGAGUGCAUCCGUCACGCUCGGGCCAUGGGCCGGCACCUGUGUGUGCAUGUCCAGCUUAACGACAGAGAUUUUUGGAAAGACGCCCUAAGAUAGACAUACUUGAAACUGAGUGAGAAUAAGUUUGACUUAUUUCUUUUUGAGAUACUUUAUAUGUUUGAAAUAAUUAAUAGCUGGCACCAGUGAA